UGAGAAUCACACAGAAAGGGACAGAGGUGGAUAUACCACACUACAGCAGUCCUGUGUCAUACUCAAUAUUCUUCUGGAAUACUGAAAGAGGGAAGGAAAAAUGAAUGAUUACUAAAAAUGUGCACAAUGCCAAUAAAUUGAAUUCCCUGGAUGCCUGUUCUCGGCCCUGGGAUGAUGCAUUGCAUGAAUGGGACACUAAGGAGACAACAACGAUUUAGAAAAGCACUAGAAGUAGACGUGUCUUCACAUUUGAAGAUGUGUCUUCUACUUUGGAUUGUGGAUUUUGAGAUGAUCAAGCAUCAGAAGGACUUUGCUUAUCUCUUUAUUGAGAAGAUAUAACAAAGAAAUGUAUACAGAAUUGUAACAACAUGAGGUACUAAAUGGCAAACACGGAUUAUUACGAACAGUGAUGGAUAACUGUGACGGAUAACGAACACGCACCUCAAAACAAAGUGUUUUAUAAACAUUAAAAGGGAAGUUUCAAUAAUACCUGCAAUUUAAACUCUGCAUGCUGCAUUGACGAGAAAAAGAUGCAAUUGUGGAAACUACCUCACCAUCAUGGCCGACUAAAAAUACCGUAUGGCGUCUUAAAGACUCCUCAUUGGGUAAUUGGGCCGAACGAACACAAGCUUGACGCUUUGCGAGUGUUGAUUGGAUGCAGCGUAUGUCAAUCAACGAAAGGCCCGCCUUACGGUGCUUAAGAAAACAUGGAACUGGAUUUAUAGGCUUUUCCCUUUUAUUGCUCCCCUCUCACAUCACGGACCGAUAAAAGGUGUUAGCAAAUACAUGUUCAGGAUUGGCUUGUCACAGUGGUUUACAGUGUGUGGCAUAAUAGUUACCCCCGUAACAUUUGAAGCAGACAUUUUUUAUUUUAAGCUAUUUAACUGGAAAUACAGGGCCUUCUGAAGCAAACUGGAGUUAAGUGCCACCCUCAAGGGCAAAAUGGCUAGGUGGCACUGAUGUGCAGUGAGGGCUUAUAAAGCUGCAGACCUCUCAGAUGAUUUCUCGCAGUCUGCCAUUACAGGAAGUGUCUGCAUUUUACGGUUAUGAACUGGAAUCCUAAUGCAGCACUUUUAAACAAUCCCAGCAAGAUAAGGCAAUCCCAGAAUGCACUGCGCCGAGCACAGCAUGGAUGGUGGAUGAUAUACUUAUAUUUCAUUUAAUACUCGCUAUUAUAGCAGGACAGAUCUCUGCGGUGUUGGGGGUCCCACAUGGCCCAAUGAGUGCUGUGGCUUGGAUUACAUCUUAUCCAUAUCAGCAGCUGUAGCCCCAACAAAGCCAGAGGACCCCUGGGCAAAAUUCAAGCUGGACAGAAUUCCCCAAGGACACUCUUGACAGGAAACGAGAUGGCAGAUGAAUAUCCAGUCUUAUAAACGUAUUACACGAUGCCUCAAUGUGUCAACAAGCUAACACUACCUACAAGCAUUUAGAAGCAAGUGUGUACACUGUCCGAAAAAUGAUCCCAAGCUGUCUAUUGGGCCGUACCCUUUAAAAAGGUCCAAAUUUGUACCCUUCAGGUAACAUUUUGUUCAAAUAUGUACCAUUGAGGAAAUAAAUUAAUUAUUUAGGUGCAAAGGUGUA